rnacentral:rRNA from 1 species
AGCAGUAGCCACGGUAAUACGGAGGAUCCAAGCGUUAUCCGGAAUCAUUGGGUUUAAAGGGUCCGUAGGCGGUCUUGUAAGUCAGUGGUGAAAGCCCAUCGCUCAACGGUGGAACGGCCAUUGAUACUGCAGGACUUGAAUUAUUGGGAAGUAACUAGAAUAUGUAGUGUAGCGGUGAAAUGCUUAGAGAUUACAUGGAAUACCAAUUGCGAAGGCAGGUUACUACCAAUUGAUUGACGCUGAUGGACGAAAGCGUGGGUAGCGAACAGGAUUAGAUACCCGAGUAGUCCCUGUCUCUUAUAC